ACUGUUUCUUUGAGUUUGAAUAGCCCACAAAUCUGAGUGUCGUUAGACUCAAACCAGGAGCUACCUGGGUGAAGAAGUUAAGUGAAACCAGCAUGGGUAGCCAGAGUUGCCAUUUGAGUGUCUGGAAUGAAAAGGGCUUCAUUCGUGCAUGCUUAAGUAAUUCAUCAAUUAUAAUGGAGAAGAGAAAAUAUGUGAAAUAGAACCACACAAGAGGAAAUAAACAUUCAACAGUAAGUUGGUACUGGAGGAUCUCCCUAUUUCACCUGUCAAAAGGCCAAUUUUCCCUGCUAAAAGAAAUCAGGGAAAGCCCCUAUCAGCUGGCAACUCAUACCAAAACACUGCUUAGGUGAGGGCGUGGGAUGAAGGUGUGGAGGUAAACCCUGACUUCUUCCCCACUAUAUCGAGGGUCAUCUUUCUGGCCUGGUGCUGAGUGGGUGGGCUUUCGUUGCCUACUGUGGCUUCAAGGACUGUUUCUGGAAUCUUCCAGGUUUAAGGCCAGCAGGGUUGCAUGACAGCAGAAGCAGUUUCCAGUGGUUUCUUGGCUUUCAGCUGCUUCCCUGUUUGCUCUUUUGUUAUGGCUACUAGUUUAAAACUCCUCCUCUGUUUAUUUGUUUGUCAGUAGGUAUAUGAGAUGAAGUCAGCCCUCAGCCAGGCUCUGCCUUGGAGGACUCUGCAAGGAAAGGGGUCACUUUACCUGUUUUGACCCCACUGGGUGGACUCCCUCUCUUGGGUGCAAUAACUUGGAUAGAUUGGGCCUCACCUUCAGACCUCAGUUACUCCACAGGAGCAUCUAGACAGCCAGGACCCUUCGUGUCCCAACCCAACGGUGAGUCCAACUCGUGUGCUCUGGAUUUGCGUUCAUCCAUAGCACAGUAGAUUUGAUGGUUAUUUUUCCUG
rnacentral:lncRNA from 1 species